UGCGCAGGCGGGAAAUUAAGUCAGUGGUGAAAUCCUGCAGCUUAACUGUAGAAUUGCCAUUGAAACUGAUUUUCUUGAGUACAGUUGAGGUGGGCGGAAUGUGUAAUGUAGCGGUGAAAUGCUUAGAUAUUACACAGAACACCGAUUGCGUAGGCAGCUCACUAAACUGUUACUGACGCUCAGGCACGAAAGCGUGGGGAGCGAACAGGAUUAGAUACCCUGGUAGUCC
rnacentral:rRNA from 1 species